rnacentral:rRNA from 1 species
UAGAAUAUGGUUGCUGUGAGUAGAAUGUGUGGUGUAGCGGUGAAAUGCAUAGAUAUCACACAGAAUACCGAUUGCGAAGGCAUCUCACAAAGCCAUCAUUGACGCUGAGGCACGAAAGUGUGGGGAUCAAACAGGAUUAGAUACCCUGGUAGUCCACACUGUAAACGAUGAUAACUAGCUGUUGGCGAUACACAGUCAGUGGCCAAGCGAAAGCGAUAAGUUAUCCACCUGGGGAGUACGACCGCAAGGUUGAAACUCAAAGGAAUUGACGGGGGCCCGCACAAGCGGAGGAACAUGUGGUUUAAUUCGAUGAUACGCGAGGAACCUUACCCGGGCUCGAACGGUACAGGAAUAUGGCAGAGAUGUCAUAGCUAGCAAUAGUCUGUAUCGAGGUGCUGCAUGGUUGUCGUCAGCUCGUGCCGUGAGGUGUCGGCUUAAGUGCCAUAACGAGCGCAACCCUUGUCGUUAGUUACCAUCAAGUAAAGUUGGGGACUCUAGCGAGACUGCCACCGUAAGGUGUGAGGAAGGGGGGGAUGACGUCAAAUCAGCACGGCCCUUACGUCCGGGGCGACACACGUGUUACAAUGGUAGGUACAGAGGGCCGCUACCCAGCGAUGGGGUGCCAAUCUCAAAAACCUAUCUCAGUUCGGAUCGGAGUCUGCAACUCGACUCCGUGAAGUUGGAUUCGCUAGUAAUCGCGCAUCAGCCAUGGCGCGGUGAAUACGUUCCCGGGCCUUGUACACACCGCCCGUCAAGCCAUGGAAGCCGGGGGUGCCUGAAGUUCGUUACCGCAAGGAGCU